AGAGCAGAGUGGCGCAGCGGAAAUGUGCUGGGCCCCUAACCCAGAGGGUGAUGGAUUGAAACCAUCCUGUUCCG